GACGAACGCUGGCGGCGUGCUUAACACAUGCAAGUCGAACGAUGAAGCUAGAGCUUGCUCUGGUGGAUUAGUGGCGAACGGGUGAGUAACACGUGAGUAACCUGCCCCGAACUCUGGGAUAACUGCUGGAAACGGUAGCUAAUACUGGAUACGACCAACGAAGGCAUCUUCUGUUGGUGGCAAGAAUUUCGGUUCGGGAUGGACUCGCGGCCUAUCAGCUUGUUGGUGAGGUAACGGCUCACCAAGGCGACGACGGGUAGCCGGCCUGAGAGGGUGAUCGGCCACACUAGGACUGAGACACGGCCCAGACUCCUACGGGAGGCAGCAGUGGGGAAUAUUGUACAAUGGGCGCAAGCCUGAUGCAGCAACGCCGCGUGAGGGACGACGGCCUUCGGGUUGUAAACCUCUUUUAGUAGGGAAGAAGCGAAAGUGACGGUACCUGCAGAAAAAGCACCGGCUAACUACGUGCCAGCAGCCGCUGUAA
rnacentral:rRNA from 1 species